CUGUCUCCAGAGUGCUGGGAUUAAAGGGGUUAAUGCCAUAUUGAGUUAAAGCAUUUCCUCAAAAGAGCUACUAUAUGCUUCCACACACUAAAAGAAUGCAUCCUUACAUUGCUGAUUUACCAGUACUGCUUUCCCCUUCUCAGGUUAGUUUUCUUAGUAGUUUGAACCCAGAAGCUGAGUAAUGGGUUGAGAUUCUGAUCAGCUCCUUUGCCCUUUCAGCCACUUGGUCAGGUAUUUUCUCUGGUCUAUCUGGUAUCUUAAUAAGUCACCAUAAAACAUCAAAGAAAUCAUUUCGUUUUUUUGAGAAAAGUUUAAAGAAAAUAAGAAAACCAAGUAGACCUAUAUAAUAGUGACUUAAUAGCUUGAGAUUUACCUUAUAUUCCUUUUAAAAUGUUUAUUUUUAAUUGAUGCGUUGUAGCUUUAAGAAUUAGUAGAAAUAGAAAGUUCUAUUGAAAUCUAAACAAAGGAGCAAUCAUAGUAAAAUUUUAGUAACAGCUCCCUCCCCCUGAAAAUCAUUGUUUUGUUUGGGUUUUGGGGUUUUUUGUUUGUUUGUUUGGGUUUUUUGUUUUGUUUUAUUUUGUUUUGGUUUUUAAAACAAGAGCUACACAGAGAAACCCUGUCUUGAAAAACCAAAAACAAAAACC
rnacentral:lncRNA from 1 species